AUACUCCAGAAUAAUCCAAAUAUUAGAAUUAAAGGAUAAUGACUUUAGAGUAGCUAAACACUAAACAACUACAAUGAUGUUCAAGUCAAGGGGAAAAAUGGCCUUAAUAAGUAUAGAGAUGGGAAAUCUCAAAAAAGAAAGGAAAGUACAAAAAAAUGAACCAAAUUGAAACCUAGAAUGAAAAAUUACAAUAUUUGAAAUGAAAAUUUUCACUUUGAUAAGCUUGAUGUCAGACUGGAGAUGGCAUAAGGGGUCAGAAAACUUCAACUUGGUUUGAUUGAAAUAAUCCAAUCUGAAUGAUACACAGAAAAAGAUGGAAGAAAAAUUAACAGUUAUUCAGUGACCUGUGGGAAAAUAUCAUUCAAACAUCUGCAAAUAGGAUCCCAAAAAGAGACAAGAGAGAUAAAAAGUAGUGAAAUAAAUUAUGAAGAUAUGAUGUUUGAGGUUGUCUCAAUUUGAUGGGAAAAAAGGUCAAAUUACAGGUCCAAAAAGCUGAUCAAACCCAGAAUAAAUUCAAACCAUGCCUGGACACAUCAUAGUAAAAUUGCUGUAAACCAACAUAAAGAAGGCAGGCAAAGAAAUGAGCACAGGCAAAGAAAAUUAACAAAUUAUAUAUAGAGGGCUGGAAUACAUAAAAUUGACUUCUUAUCAGAAAAUACUGGAGUAAAAGACAUUCUAAGUAUAAGCAAGUAUAAAUGAUUAUCUUCUUUUUGUCUAUGAAUUUCUUUUUAAAAACAGAUGAAACAUUAAAGCAAAAAUAAUACAAGGUGCUUUACAACCACUGUAAAGUGAAAAUGUUUGACAAAUUAGAACAAAAAAAGGUUGUAAGUAUACUUCUGUAAGAUUUUUACAUCUGUGAUGUGUGAUGUGCAAAUAGUGUGAUGAUAAAAUACUCUAAAUUGACUCUAAUGAGAGAGAGAGAUUACUAAAUUUAGUAGAGAAACUACAAAAAUAAAAAAUAAAAAAGGGACAGCUAAAAAGCAUGAGAGAAAAUAAAUGAAACACUAGAAAUAUUUAAUUAAACCAAAAGUAGACAUCCAAAAAAGGAACAGAGGAAUAAAAGACAAAUUAUACAAAUAGACUGUGUUGGUUAAAAUAGUAGAUUUUAACCCAGCCAUACCAAUAAUUACAUUAAAGGUAAAUGGACUAAGUAUUCAAAAGAUAUUGUAUAGCUGCUUUCAAAAAGCAAAUUCCAACCAUAUGCUCUCUACAAGAUGCAUUGAAAACAGGCACAGAGGUUGAAAGUAAAAAGAUGGAAGAUAUAUACCAUACAGCAAUAAACAUUAAUAAAACUGUUAUGGCUAUAUUAGUAUGAAACAGAUAUUCAAAACAAGGAGUAUUAAAAGAAAUAAAGAGAUGUUAUAAUAAAAAGGUCAAUCAACAGAAUACAUAACAAGCUUAAAUAUGCAUCUAAUAAGAAAGUGUUGAAAGUAUAAAACAAAACUGAUGUAACUAAAGAGAGAAACAUAUAAAUCUAUGAUCACAGUUGGAAUGUUAAACACAUCUUUCCUAUUUGCUAAUAGAACAGACAGAAAAAAAUAGUACAAAUAUAGAAGAUGUGCGAAAAACAAUUAUGAGCUAAUCGACAUUAACAUAAGACUGCAAAAGAAAAAAUUCUUGUCAAGUACCAAGAGAACAUUCACCAGGGUAAAGCCUGUACCUAAACAGUACAUUUCAAUAGACUUCAAAAUGCUGAAAUCCUACAGAGUAUGUGCUCUGACCACAAAGAAUUAAAUAGAAAUUAAUUAAUAGAAAUAAGAUAUCUAGAAAAUUCCCCAAAAUUAGGAAAUUUUAAAAUACAUUUAUAAAUAAACAAUAGGUAGCAAAAAAUCAGAAGGAAAAUUUUAAUUGAAUAAUAAUGAAAGUAAAACAUCAAAAUUUGUGAGGUGCAUUUAAGCAGUUCUUAAAGGGAAGAAAUAUAUGGCUUUAAAAGCCAAUAUCAGAAAAGAAGAAAAUUAUAAAGUGAAUCACUUAACUUACCAAUUUAAGAAGGAUUAAAAAAAAAUCACAUUAUACUCAAAAAACAAGUAGAAAAUAGGAAGCAAUAAAGAACAGAAAUCUAUAACUGAAAAACUUGGAGAAAAUUAACAAAUUCCUAAGUUGAUUCUUUAAAAGACUAACAAAAUGGAUAAGCCUAUAUGAAUAUUGAUGAAGAAAAAAUAAAAUUAGCAAUAGCCAAAUUGAAAUAGUGGCUAUUACUACAAAAUAUUCAGGAAAGAGAAUAUUGUAAGCAACUUUAUGCUAGUGAACUAGACAAUAAAAUGGAAACAUUUCUUGGGAGAGAAAGAGACUUAAAAAGCAGUUUGAAUUUUUAAAAUGACAAAAGAGGAAAUAGAAAAAUCUGUCAAGUCCUAUUAAAGAAUUUAAUUUAUAAUCAAAAAUCUUUUCAAAAAGAAAUCCUGACUUAGUUUGACAAUUUCCAUCAAGCAUUUAAGGAAGAUAAAAUAACACUAUCACACAAAAUAUUUCAGAAAAUAGCAGAGGAAGGAAUUCUUUUAAACUUAUUUUUUUGAAGACAACAUUGCUCUAAUAACAAAGAAUGACAAGGUAUCAUAAGAACAGAAAAUUAGAAUUCCUGGUUUCUGUUCUGGCAUGAAAGACCUCGGAAGUCAUCCCUCUCAUCCUUAAGCAAUAUGAAGAUAAACAAAUUGAAAAUCAACAGCUCUUCUUAAACCCAUGAGAGAGCUGAGGCAACAGGGCAAGCUGCCACCACAAAAUCUGGAGAGAUGGGCAAAUUCAGAGUCACAGCUGAAGUUGACUUUCCUGGAAUAAAAGUCAUAAUGUGGGAGGAGCACUAAAUGGUAAUGUUGAUGAAUUGCUGAAACUUAGAGUAAACCAGUUUGACAAACUCUUUGACAGUCUUAGGAGGGGCUCACACCUUUACCCAGGAACCCCACCAGAUUCUCACAGUGAGGAGCCAAGAAAGAUGUCCUCUUUGCUCUGGCUGGGCGGGGAGAGCUAGAGUAACCAUUAUGAAAUGUACUCAGAGUCUUCUCCUUAACAAAUGACUACUCUCCAGGGGGAAAGACUUUGCCAGAGCCUUAUUCCACCUGGGAGAAAGGCUUUUCUAUGACUCUAGCAUAGAGAUGAGAACUCUGAAAGAAACAGAAGGAAAUGUUAGAAACCACUGAAAACACUUCACAGUAAUGAAAAUGCCUUCAGUAGACUGGACACAGCCAAGGAACAAAUCAGCAAGCUUGAGAAUGAGAAAAAAAUCAGAAAAGAACAUUCAAAAACUGUGGGAGAAUUUCAACAUAUGCGCAUUUAGAAUACUAGAAGGAGAAUAAAAAAUCAAGCAAAGAUAUUUUCAUAAUGGCCAAGAAAUUUAGAAAAUUGACAAAAUAUUCCAAACCACAGAUGCAGGAAACUCUGGGGUAACUAAGCAGGAUAAGUGCCAUAAAAUCAACAUUUUGACAAAUUAUACUGAAACUGCAGGAAACCAGAGCAAAAAGAAAAUACUGAAAGAUGCCUCGGGUGCGGGUGGGGAUUUUUCCAAAGAGAAAUAAAAAGAAUUACAGCACACUUCUCAAUAGAAGUCAUAUAGACAAGAAGCGAAUUGAAUGAAAUAUUUAAAGUAUUGAGGGGGAUCGCCGAUUAUCCUUCAAAAGUAAAAGAAAAAUAGAGACAUUUUAAAUGAAAAAAAAAAAAACCAAAACUGAUGGAAUUUGUCAACAACAGACCUGCCGUGAAAUAAAUGCUAAAAGAAGUUCUUUAAAAAGAAAUAAUGUGUGUGUGUGUGUAUAUAUAUACAUAUGUAUAUAUAGAGAGGGAGAUUAUCAGAAAUGUGGAUCUACAUAAAGAACAUUGGAGUAGAAAAAUAUAAUGGUAAAACAAAAUUGCUUAUUUUUCUUAAUCUCAAUUGAUCCAAAUUGUUAUAUUUUGUUUAAUGCAAUAUAAUGCAUACUUAUAGUAUAUGGAUAAGUAAAAUGAAUGACAGUAAUAUCAUAAGGGAUGAGAUGGAGGCAUUAGAAAUACUCUAAGAUCUCUGUACUACUUGUGAAGUGGUAGAGUGCUGUUUUAUGGUAGACUUGGGUCAGUUUAUUUUGCAAACUCUAGGACAACCAUUAACAUUUUUUUAAAAGAAACAUUUAAAAUGUAAAGAGGGUAGAUGAAAUGGAAUCAAAUUAAAUACUUAGUUAAAACUAGGAAAGGCAGAAAAAAGAGGGAAAAAUAAAAUUAGAGGACAAUAUCUCUCAUAAAAAAUAGACAAAAAAUUGAGUAAAUUAGAAUACCACAAAAUAUAAAAAUAUUUAAUAAGUCUUAGGACUUAUUCAAGAACUAAACAAAUCUGUUUCAACAUUAAUAUACUUUAACAGAAUGAAAAAGUAAAAUCGAGUAAUCAUCUUAAUGCAGAAAAAAUCAGUUAACAAAUUUCAGCAGCUAUUCAUAAGAAAAAAAUUCACAGCCUUAAAAAAUAGUAGGAACUGCUCUAUUUGAUUAAAAAAAAACUUUAUAGCUAGCCUCAUAAUAAAUGGUACUAUACUAAUGAUUAAAACUAGCGAGAACAGAUUUCUGCUCUCAUCAGCUUUUUUUUCUUUUGAGCAUUUGUCAAAGAUAUAUUUAACUGAUUAUUAAGAAAACCAGCAGGAUGAUAAAGCUAGUUCAAAGGAAAAUAAGAAAAAACUGAUAUAUAGUCAACUGGCCAGUAGAACACAGAAUGCUAGACUAAGACUGCAAAGUUGAAUAAAAAUAAAAAUAUAAAUAAAUAAAUAAAUAAUAAAGCCUUAAGACCGUAAACUUUGAGGUUUUCUUUUCUGUCACACAGAAUUUGUUUGCAUCUUUUUU
rnacentral:lncRNA from 1 species